CAGUGCCUCCUAUUCUCAAAUCUCCCAAGGGAUUCAGAAAUAUAGAGCAAAAGUUACAAAGAAUUUGAGAAGAAUCCACUGAAUUCCACUAUUUCUGUUGAUCUACAAACAAGUAACACCCAUCAGGCCAACCAAUGAAGUCCCAAUUCAUAGCCUGCAAAGUCCCCAAAGAAAGAAAAUGGAGAUGUAAAGUAGAGUCACAGUUUUGUUAGCAUAUUGGAAAGAAUAUAUGCAGUGAGCUUUACUGCUAUGAAGAGGUCUUUUGAAUAAAUGGAGAUGACUACCCCCACAGAAGCUUUGCUCUGCAGAAUACCCCGAUGAUUUCAAAAUUUAGAGGAGACAGGGUGAAUGGGUGUUGGAAGGAGAGCUUGAACAAGCACAGGAAUAGCAAAAGAGAGGAAAUGAAACAAGGAAAGUAGAGCAAGAAAAACCAGGGAAGAUGAAUUGGGUGGAGUCGGGGUGACUGAAUGGAGUUUGAACCUUUACUGGUUGGAUGCCCUUCCUGAUGCCUACAUAAAGUUUGCAGUAGACAAUUACUCAUCAUGCCCCAAAAGAGAAAUAUCUGCCACUAAUUGGGAUCGAACUCAAGCCUCCUGAUUGAUGAGAAUGGAAUAUGCCUCCGGCCAUCUGCCUUAUCUCUGGGUGUGGAAGAAAAGGUACAGAGACCUAACAGCCUUGGAAGUGGCACCUUAUCAUUCCCACAACAUUUUCACACUUGUGGAUUGGCCUAUUUGAACCAUUCGGAUGGACAAUUGGGGUGGGGUUUUUAUUGACUCUUUUGACUUAUUGAUUUGCGCAGGAAAUCCUCAGAUCCUGCCUUCUACUACUACUGUCAAAACCUUCCAAUAAAAGUUCCUUUUGAAAUAA